rnacentral:rRNA from 1 species
GAGUUGGGUUCAAAACGUCGUGAGACAGUUUGGUCCCUAUCUGUUGCGGGCGUAGGAAUUUUGAGAGGAGUUGCUUCUAGUACGAGAGGACCGAAGUGAACGAACCAAUGGUGUUCCGGUUGUACUGCCAAGUGCAUAGCCGGGUAGCUAUGUUCGGAAAGGAUAAGCGUUGAAAGCAUCUAAACGCCAAGCCUCCCUCAAGAUAAGAAUUCCCAAUGAGACCCCAUGUAGAUUACGUGGUUGAUAGGUUAGGUGUGUAAGCACAGUAAUGUGUUCAGCUAACUAAUACUAAUCGGUCCAACGACUUAACACCUUUUUUUAACUGUUG